rnacentral:rRNA from 1 species
UGCCAGCCGCCGCGGUAACACGGGGGGCGCAAGCGUUAUUCGGAAUUAUUGGGCGUAAAGGGCGCGCAGGCGGUCUUGUCCGUCAGGUGUGAAAGCCCGGGGCUCAACCCCGGAAGUGCAUUGGAAACUGGCGAACUUGAGUACGGGAGAGGAAAGUGGAAUUCCGAGUGUAGGGGUGAAAUCCGUAGAUAUUCGGAAGAACACCAAACGCGAAGGCAUUCUGCUGGUCAUUACCUGACGCUGAGGGACGAAAGCGUGGGGAGCGAACGGGAUUAGAUA